GAUGAACGCUGGCGGCGUGCCUAAUACAUGCCAGUCGAGCGAACAGACGAGGAGCUUGCUCCUUUGACGUUAGCGGCGGACGGGUGAGUAACACGUGGAUAACCUACCUAUAAGACUGGGAUAACUUCGGGAAACCGGAGCUAAUGCCGGAUAACAUGUUGAACCGCAUGGUUCAACAGUGAAAGACGGUCUUGCUGUCACUUAUAGAUGGAUCCGCGCCGCAUUAGCUAGUUGGUAAGGUAACGGCUUACCAAGGCAACGAUGCGUAGCCGACCUGAGAGGGUGAUCGGCCACACUGGAACUGAGACACGGUCCAGACUCCUACGGGAGGCAGCAGUAGGGAAUCUUCCGCAAUGGGCGAAAGCCUGACGGAGCGACGCCGCGUGAGUGAAGAAGGUCUUCGGAUCGUAAAACUCUGUUAUUAGGGAAGAACAAAUGUGUAAGUAACUAUGCACGUCUUGACGGUACCUAAUCAGAAAGCCACGGCUAACUACGUG
rnacentral:rRNA from 1 species